UGGGGAAUUUUGGACAAUGGGCGAAAGCCUGAUCCAGCCAUGCCGCGUGCAGGAUGAAGGCCUUCGGGUUGUAAACUGCUUUUGUACGGAACGAAAAAGUUCUCUCUAAUACAGGGGGCGAAUGACGGUACCGUAAGAAUAAGCACCGGCUAACUACGUGCCAGCAGCCGCGGUAAUACGUAGGGUGCGAGCGUUAAUCGGAAUUACUGGGCGUAAAGCGUGCGCAGGCGGUUAUAUAAGACAGAUGUGAAAUCCCCGGGCUCAACCUGGGAACUGCAUUAGUGACUGUAUAGCUAGAGUGCGGCAGAGGGGGAUGGAAUUCCGCGUGUAGCAGUGAAAUGCGUAGAUAUGCGGAGGAACACCGAUGGCGAAGGCAAUCCCCUGGGCCUGCACUGACGCUCAUGCACGAAAGCGUGGGGAGCAAACAGG
rnacentral:rRNA from 1 species